ensembl:snRNA LOC120094981 U6 spliceosomal RNA
GUGCUCGCUUCAGCAGCACAUAUACUAAAAAAAAAUUGGAACGAUACAGAGAAGAUUAGCAUGGCCUCUGCGCAAGGAUGACACGCAAAGUCGUGAAGCGUUCCAUAUUUAA